rnacentral:rRNA from 1 species
CCCCUAGACGUUCUGGGCUGCACGCGCGCUACAAUAAUACGCACAGCGAGUAUCACCGAGCUCGAAAGGGCAAGGUAAACAAUAGAAAAGGUACUGUAAUGGUUAUAGAUCCUUGUAAUUAUUGAUCUUCAACGAGGAAUUCCUAGUAAGUAUGUGUCAUCAUCACGCACUGAUUACGUCCCUGCCCUUUGUACACACCGCCUGUCGCUCCUACCGAUUGGGUGAGCCGAUGAAACUCUCGGAUGUAGGCUAUUCAUAGCCCGCAGAAGAGAUUUGAAUCGUAGCGCUUAGAGGAAGGAGAAGUCGUAACA